rnacentral:rRNA from 1 species
CGGAAAACUGGGGAUAAUGCCGGAUAGAUCAUAGAGGCUGGAAUGCACGGUGAUCCAAAGCGGUUGUGCCUAAGGAGGAGUCGGCGGUCUAUCAGGUUGUAGUGGGUGUAACGUACCUACUAGCCUACGACGGAUACGGGUUGUGGGAGCAAGAGCCCGGAGAUGGAUUCUGAGACAUGAAUCCAGGCCCUACGGGGCGCAGCAGGCGCGAAAACUUUACAAUGCAGGAAACUGCGAUCAGGGGACACCGAGUGCUAGCUUCCUAUGUUGGCUGUCCGCAUGUUUCAAUCACAUGUGUUAGCAAGGGCCGGGCAAGACCGGUGACAGCCGCCGCGGUAACA